rnacentral:rRNA from 1 species
GAUGAACGCUCGCUACAGGCUUAGCACAUGCAAGUCGAGGGGAAACGGCAUUGAGUGCUUGCACUCUUUGGACGUCGACCGGCGCACGGGUGAGUAACGCGUAUCCAACCUUCCCAUUACUGUGGGAUAACCUGCCGAAAGGCAGACUAAUACCGCCUAGUCUUCGAUGACGGCAUCAGAUUUGAAGUAAAGAUUUAUCGGUAAUGGAUGGGGAUGCGUCUGAUUAGCUUGUUGGCGGGGUAACGGCCCACCAAGGCUACGAUCAGUAGGGGUUCUGAGAGGAAGGUCCCCCACAUUGGAACUGAGACACGGUCCAAACUCCUACGGGAGGCAGCAGUGAGGAAUAUUGGUCAAUGGAUGGAAGUCUGAACCAGCCAAGUAGCGUGCAGGAUGACGGCCCUAUGGGUUGUAAACUGCUUUUGUAUGGGGAUAAAGUUAGGGACGUGUCCCUAUUUGCAGGUACCAUACGAAUAAGGACCGGCUAAUUCCGUG